rnacentral:rRNA from 1 species
GCACAAGCGGUGAGUAUGUGGUUUAAUUCGACGCAACGCGCAGACCUUACCUGGUCUUGACAUCCCGGGAAUCUUGUGGAAACACGAGAGUGCCUCGCAAGAGGAGCCUGGAGACAGGUGCUGCAUGGCUGUCGUCAGCUCGUGUCGUGAGAUGUUGGGUUAAAUCCCGCAACGAGCGCAACCCCUAUCUUUAGUUGCCAUCAUUGAGUUAGGCACUCUAAAGAGACUGCCGGUGUCAAACCGGAGGAAGGUGGGGAUGACGUCAAGUCCUCAUGGCCUUUAUGACCAGGGCUACACACGUACUACAAUGGCCGGUACAAAGGGCAGCGACACAGCGAUGUGAAGCGAAUCCCGAAAAGCCGGUCUCAGUCCGGAUUGGAGUCUGCAACUCGACUCCAUGAAGUUGGAAUCGCUAGUAAUCGCGGAUCAGCACGCCGCGGUGAAUACGUUCCCGGGCCUU